rnacentral:ncRNA from 1 species
UUUUGGUGCCAUCCUUUUUAUUCAAUAAAGAAUGGUGAAAAGGGAAUCAGGUGUAAGUCCUGAACAGACCCGCUGCUGUAAACUCUACAAAUAUUGUUUUAGAAAUACUCCCGAUACCACUAUCUGUAAAACAGAUGGGAAGGUGAUUCUAAAAUAAGAGUAAGUCAGAAGACCUGCCAGAACAUU